CAGAAGUUUGCUCUUUGGCGCUCAUGGCAAGUGUUUUCAAGGUCUCCACCGACAGUUCAUCAGGACGACACCCAGCCGGGACACUAGGAAGGAGCGACAGGUCCUUGCGGAAAAGAAACGAAAAUAGAUAGAUGUUUGCACGGCCCACAACCCAGCAGGCGCGAGUUCGUUCUCGUUCAAAGUUUCUGGG